AACUGGAAAGCUGCAAAAACGCACUACUAGCUCUGCUCUGUUGUGAGUCAUAGAGAGAUUGGGAAAUCAGCGAAUUGUGGACAAAUUCUAUGUUUCAUUGAAAGCAUAUGGCCGAGUUAGCUAUUUUUUUAAUCAAAGGUACAUCGGUUUUGAGUUAGGAAAUAUAAACUUUUCCACCUAAAAUGAUUGCAAAAAAUCCUUAUUUUUACGUGGCGGACUGCAUCAACAACGGAGAUCUGUAACAACUGCAUGUGGCUCUGGUGGGGCCGUACUCUGUGACGUGUGCCCUUGUUUGGAGCUUGACGUCACAGAUGCAAGUUUUAUGGGGGGGGAAGAAGGAGCUGGCACAAAAUUUGAAAGACUCAUCACAGGUAGCCUAAAGUUUGUUGUGAAAAGUGGAAAUCCGAAGAGAUGGCAGCAAGAGCAAGCUGGUAUUCGGUCCCUGGCUGCAAGAAAUCUAGAGAAGAAGGAACAAAAUGUCCCUGUUUUCUGUUGAAAGAUGCAGAAGAUGGCAAGUAGCUAUAAAAAUCUGUAAAUACGAUGUAAACACUGCUACAGCCAAUCUUGCAAAUCUACUGUACUUGUGUGUAGUAGCCUAAGCAAUUCAUCAACGAUGGCUACCAGAGAGAUAUACAAUCAGAAUGGGGGAAAAACGCUGAAAACUCACACAGCUGUUCCUUCUGUAUUCCCACAGACUGGAUAUGCUGCCGUGCCAAAAUACAGAGGCAAGUGUCAAAGCAAACAUUCAGAGUCACAGUACGAAACCUGACACACAUCACAGGCUGGGAGCAGCACAUACUGUACCAGUGUGAAAACCCCAUAUGGCGAUAUUUAGCUUUAAUGGCAUUUACCACGCAGGAUGGGAGAGGAAUUAUGACUGCUGGACGCAGUGUCUCACCACGGAUGAACGACUCCAAAACGAUGUGGUAUGAGACCAGUCUGAACUGUCUGGAAUGACAAUUACAGAUCGAAGGGCGGGGACAUGUGUGCUGGAGUCAGAGCAGAUACUCAGCCCUGCCACUUCCAUGCUGCCAGAUCGUAAUUUCUGCUCAUUCUGCCCACUCUGACUCUGGUCCCUGUCUCCAGUCCCUCGUCUCGUCACCCUGCUACACUGUCCUGGAUUCCCCACUCUACUACUCCCUCAGAUUCCCCUCCAGACCUGCUUACACUGUCUCAACCCCUCUCGCCUCAGCCUCCACACCUGGUUUCCAGCAACCCGCCCAAGCUUCCCCUGACCUGCACUCUAUCUCCCCCUGUGUUUCAA